UGGCGGCAUGCCUUACACAUGCAAGUCGAACGGCAGCACGGGGGCAACCCUGGUGGCGAGUGGCGAACGGGUGAGUAAUACAUCGGAACGUGUCCUGUAGUGGGGGAUAGCCCGGCGAAAGCCGGAUUAAUACCGCAUACGCUCUGCGGAGGAAAGCGGGGGCUCCUUCGGGACCUCGCGCUACAGGGGCGGCCGAUGGCAGAUUAGCUAGUUGGUGGGGUAAAGGCCUACCAAGGCGACGAUCUGUAGCUGGUCUGAGAGGACGACCAGCCACACUGGGACUGAGACACGGCCCAGACUCCUACGGGAGGCAGCAGUGGGGAAUUUUGGACAAUGGGCGCAAGCCUGAUCCAGCAAUGCCGCGUGUGUGAAGAAGGCCUUCGGGUUGUAAAGCACUUUUGUCCGGAAAGAAAACCUCAGCCCUAAUACGGCGGGGGGAUGACGGUACCGGAAGAAUAAGCACCGGCUAACUACGUGCCAGCAGCCGCGGUAAUACGUAGGGUGCAAGCGUUAAUCGGAAUUACUGGGCGUAAAGCGUGCGCAGGCGGUCCGCUAAGACAGAUGUGAAAUCCCCGGGCUUAACCUGGGAACUGCAUUUGUGACUGGCGGGCUAGAGUAUGGCAGAGGGGGGUAGAAUUCCACGUGUAGCAGUGAAAUGCGUAGAGAUGUGGAGGAAUACCGAUGGCGAAGGCAGCCCCCUGGGCCAAUACUGACGCUCAUGCACGAAAGCGUGGGGAGCAAACAGGAUUAGAUACCCUGGUAGUCCACGCCCUAAACGAUGUCAACUAGUUGUCGGGCCUUCAUUGGCUUGGUAACGUAGCUAACGCGUGAAGUUGACCGCCUGGGGAGUACGGUCGCAAGAUUAAAACUCAAAGGAAUUGACGGGGACCCGCACAAGCGGUGGAUGAUGUGGAUUAAUUCGAUGC
rnacentral:rRNA from 1 species